rnacentral:tRNA from 1 species
AGCGACGUAGAGCAGUGGUCAGCUCGCCGGGCUCAUAACCCGAGAGGUCGCAGGUUCGAAUCCUGCCGUCGCAA